ACCCAGACUUGCACUCUUUGGUUUCCGGCUCUGUUCCGGCGACUACACGCGGUCGGUUUACAGGAGACUAACGCUGCACGUGGAGAGCUGCUUGGCUCUCGCGACUUCGCCCACCCGACCCGCAUGUUCGAAGAGCCGGAGUGGGCCGAGGAGGCCCCGGUAGCCACGGGCCUCGAACCUGUAGCUGCACGACCUCGGCCUGCCGCAGCCUCGCAAAUCAAGGGCUCCAAGCACCGUCAGCUCUUGGCCACGUUACGGGCCCUGGAGGCAGCAGCUCUUCCCCAGCAGUCUCCUAGCCUGCCUGGCAGUGACUCUGAGGAGGAGGUAGUGGAAAGGAAGAAGAAACACUCAAAAAAGGCCUCAUUUUCCAAUGUUUCUAUUGAAGUAGAGAAGAAGAGGAAGAAGAAAUGUCAGAAACAGGGCCCACCUGGCAGUGACUCUGAAGAAAAGGAAGUAGAAAGGAAGAAAAAGUGCCUCAAAGGGGUUUUUAAUGCCAGUGACUCUGCUGAAGAAGAGAAAAGGAAGAGGAAACACCAGAAACAGGUCCACUCAAACCCUGCCCAGCACCUGGACAAUGAUGACCAAACAGGUCCCAAAGCUUGGAAGAGUAGAGAUACAAAUGACCUAUCCCAGCCAAGCGCUGGGACCACUUCUGCCAACCCCCCCCACAUCUUGAGUCGCAAGCAGUGGCGGAACCGACAAAAGAAUAAACGUAGGCAUAAGAAUAAGUUUCGGCCACCUCAGCCACCAGACCAGGCUCCAGCCACAGUCUCCACAGAGGAGACAGAGAUGCCUCCUGACCCCAGUCCACACAGCCAUGAGGAUCGGGCAGGGGCUCUGCGAGCCCGCAUGGCACAACGGCUGGAUGGUGCUCGAUUUCGUUACCUCAACGAACAGCUAUACUCAGGGCCUAGCAGUGCUGCACAGCGUCUCUUCCAGGAAGACCCUGAGGCCUUUCUCCUCUACCAUCGCGGCUUCCAGAGCCAAGUCAAGAAGUGGCCACUGCAGCCAGUGGACCGCAUUGCCAGAGAUCUUCGCCAGCGGCCUGCGUCCCUGGUGGUAGCUGACUUCGGCUGCGGGGACUGCCGCCUGGCUUCAAGUAUCCGGAACCCUGUACACUGCUUUGACUUGGCCUCUCUGGACCCCAGGGUCACUGUGUGUGACAUGGCCCAGGUGCCUCUGGAGGAUGAGUCUGUGGAUGUGGCUGUGUUCUGCCUUUCACUGAUGGGAACCAACAUCAGGGACUUCCUAGAGGAGGCAAAUAGAGUGCUGAAGCCAGGGGGUCUUCUGAAAGUAGCUGAAGUCAGUAGCCGUUUUGAAGGUGUUCGGACUUUUCUGGGGGCUGUGACCAAACUGGGCUUCAAAGUCAUCUCCAAGGAUCUUACCAACAGCCACUUCUUCCUGUUUGACUUUGAAAAGACUGGGCCUCCUCGGGUCGGUCCCAAGGCUCAACUCACAGGCCUGAAACUUCAGCCAUGUCUCUACAAGCGCAGGUGACCUCUGGGGCCCCCUUGAAAGGGAGGCAAGUCUCGAACUCCAGGCUCAGAACUCUGAAGACUGUAUCCAGCCAGGCUCUGACCCAAGAACGGGGUCAGAAAGAGGAUGUGUGGGAAGAGACCAUGCAGGAUUGCUGUGUAGAGAGCUUAUUGUGAGACAGCACAGCUGGACUGUCAGGACCCGCCCCCUCACCUCAGCUCUGACUGUGGACUCCACUGGGACCAUUCAGGAAGCUUGAGCUAUUAGGUAGAGAGGAGGUGAGAAGAGCCGAGAGCACACAGAUUAUUCUCCUCCUCCCCAACUCAGCCUCCUUGAGACAUAGUAAGUGGGGCAGAGCUGGGAGGGGAAGACGGUUAAAGCUCCAGUGGGUGCACAUUAUUUAUUGUUACCUAGGGUUAGAUAUCCUAAUUGCUUGAGAUGAAGAGGAGGUGAGAAGAGCAGAGAGCACACAGAUUAUUCCUAUUAUUCCUCUUCUCCCCAGUUCAGGCUCAUUGAGACAUAGUAAAUGGGGCAGAGCUGGGAGGGGAAGGUGGUUAAAGCUCCAAGUGGGUGCACAUUAUUUAUAGUUACCUAGGGUUAGAUAUUCUAAUUGCUUGAGAUCGCGUAAGACCGUUAACUAAGAAUAAGCUGAAAAGUCACGGGCUUGCUGCAGCUUACCUCCACAGCAGGGAAAGAGUAUCCCCAAAUGAAAAUGCUUUGGAGGGGUGGUGAGAGACAAGAAUAAGCUUGGGUUUGGAUGGCAGUCUGUGCCUUGUGCUUGUUCAGCAUGCCUUUGAGAGGUUUCUUGCUGCUGCAGUUUUUGGUGUGCUCCAGCUCUUGUUCCUGUAACACAGUCCUAUGGAACACGGUUCCAAAGGAAACAACAUGAUCUUGGCAGAGACACAACUUAGCUCCAAACACUCAGCCAUUUACAUAAAUGCACAGAGCCCUUUACAGCUUUUCACAGAGACCCACAAUAGUGUUUUUUUUUUUUUUAUCCCCAGGUGGUCCUCCUUCCCAGAUGACUUCUCAGACUGGCCACCUGUUUCUAGGAUAUUCAACUACUGUAGCAAUUGCCUUAUUGGUCUAAUUCCAUCACUCCUGCCCCCAAAGCAAUUUGUUUCCCACACAGCCAAGUGAUGUUUUUAAAAUGUAAAUCAGAUAUUGUCAUUUCUCUGCUUAAAAUCCUUCAAUGGGUUCUCAGUGCUCUGAGAACAAAAGACAGACUCGCUCCCAGGCCCUGUGUGAUCUUGCUCAGGCCUUGCUCUCCAACUGCAUCUUAACCCACUCCUUCCUCACAAGACUCCAGCCAUGCAAGCUUUCUUUUCAUUCCUCUAGCAUUCCAAGCCAUUCCUGCUGGGUCUUUACACAUGCUGCUCUAUCUUUUUACAGUACUUUUUGUGAUGAGCUCAUUUUCAUCUUCCAGAUCUUCACACCAAAUCCCCGUUUCUUCUUUGGAAGAAACUGGCUAGAUGCUCACCAAAAUGUCCUUUUUAUGGACACAUAGUUAACUAUGUUUCCCAGCUCCUUGCAUCAAGGCAGUGCUAUUGUCUUCGCCAAUGGAAAGUAAGUAGGAGUAAUGCUUUACUGCCAGACCAAGGCAAUUAAAGAGUGGAUGAGCCUUCUCCACAUUCUGCCAUCCCCUCUUCUGCCUUCCUGGGUGAGCUUGAAGCAUAUGUUUUAAAGACUGUGGAGUCAAUUGCUUGGAGGAAAUCUGCUUGACCAAGAACAUCCACAUUGGACUUUUCAACAAAAAUAAACCUCUAUUGCAUUAAGUUACUGAGCUUUGGGAAGGUUAUAGAAGUUAGUAUUAUAUACUCUGGCUAAUAUAUCUUUUCUGGGCAUCCUGUCCACCUUGCUCUUGACCACAAAACCUUUUUUUGUUUCCCUCAGGGUGCUUCAAACAUGUAAUUAUCUUACCAGAUGCCAGUCAACACUCCUACCUAUCCUAUAACUUCGAAUCUUAAUUGAGAAAAAAACGUCCACGUGAGGAAGUUGAGAUACUCAUUUUAUCAGUUGCAUUUUGAUUGUGACCAGAAAAAAAAAAUCCCACUGAAGAAUGUCCUAAACAAAUUAGAUUUUUUUCUUCUACUAUACUUAGAAACCUGAAGGUAGAUGGCUGCUGUCAGUGGUUUAGGAAUUCAAGGAUGUUAAGUUUUAGGUCUUUGUUGCUCUUGGUGUCUUGAUUCUAAUGGUUACAAGAUGAUGUGUUCUUGAUUAGUCGGGGACACCCUACUUACUGUUACACUUCUUGGGAGUCUUGUUGAUUGCCACAGCCCCUACCUUUUUGGCUUUACUUCAAGGGUCCUUCUAUAUUAUUAAUACUCUGGUAUAAAUAUGUUUCAUUAUUCCCUACAACAUAAUUGAGGCCAAUUUAAAAUAUUAACAUUUUCUUUUCUAUCUUUAUUUUUUUGAAUUUUAUAUUAAGUAGGCUUCAUACCCAGUGUGGAGCUUGAACUCAAGACCCUGAGAUUAAAUAAGAGUCACAUGCUCUACCAACCGAGCCGUCAGGUGCCCCUAAAAUAUUAACAUUUUAAAAUAUAUUUGUCUCCCACACUCCUUCCCACACCUCAGUGAUCUAUUAGCAACUUACCCAGUUUGAAGCUGUUCUUCCUCCAGCCCAGUGGGGUGGGGAAGCAUGGUCUUUAUUUCAUUCGUUACCUCCUCUGUCACUUAGGAUUGGGAUGGGGAGGACACACUAGAGGAGAAAAAGGUAAACACCAUCAGUGUGCUCUACUAAGACAGGCACUUAUUUAAAUGUUGGCUCUCAUGUGGGGUAUUGGGGUUCUUUGGAGCCCCCCAGUAGGGACUUGUGCACUGGCUGGCUUUGCUGCUUAUUAUACACAGCCCACACUUCCCCUCAGCUCUUCAGCUUCUGCCCCUGUCCAUGAAUCCAUAGCUUCCUAAUGCUAACAUCCCUAUCCCUGGCACAGAGGGAGGGGACCUGGGACAGUUUCCAACAAACACUUCAAGAUUAGUUCCCUUUCAGGGAGCCCACCAGAAACUCAUGCAUAUUUUUCCCGCCAACACUGGCAGUGCAGCGCAGUCAGCAGCUGACCCCUCUCCCCUUGCUUGCCUCAGCCAGCCUGACUGACUUCUCCAUGUGAGAAGCACCAAUCUCUAUAUGCAUAUGGCUGCAAACCCUCAUAAGUGAUUCAGGUUGUGUUAACUCCCAAGAGGCCUCUGCCCCAGGCCCCACCUCAGUGGCCAUAUACAGAUGGCUCUAUUAAGUUCCUGAGUGUGGCAAGCCUCUAGCUCGAGAAUGUAAUCUGAAUGAAUGUAAAGCUUGUCCCUCUCGUGGAGACACAGAACUACUAUAAAUGGUUCUAUUAGAGCCCUCCUCACUUGAUUUAUGAUGCCUUUCGGGGGGAAAAGUUCUCUAUUCCUAAAAAAAUUCCCAUCAAUGCAUCUUUCAUUUCUCACUUCAUAUACAGUAGAAAGUUUGAUGGUCUCUGGAUCAGCUUUAUUUUCUUAGAAUAAAUCCUAUGUGGAUGUAUCCAGCAUCUUUAUUUAGAAUGUGUCAGUGCCUAUUACCUAUGGUCUUCAGUCUUGGUGUAUUAUCCAAAGGUUUUAGACGACUGAAAAACUCAUUUAACAUCCUCUUUCUUAUGUACAUAUUCUUAGAAAACGUGAACUGCGGGGCGCCUGGGUGGCUCAGUCGGUUGAGCGUCCAACUUCGGCUCAGGUCAUGAUCUCACGGUCCGUGAGUUCGAGCCCCGCGUCGGGCUCUGUGCUGACAGUGCAGAGCCUGCAGCCUGUUUCGGAUUCUGUGUCUCCCUCUCUCUCUCUUACCCUCCCCCACUCAUGCUCUGUCUCUCUCUGUCUCAAAAAUAAAUUAAAAAAACGUUAAAAAAAAUUAAAAAAAAGAAAACGUGAACUGCUUUAUUUAUAUAGAGUAUUACUGACGAUGUAUUCUUACUUUCCCUCCCUCCCUCAGCUCUGUUUUUAGUAUCCAUUCACGUAUCAAUCGGAGCCCUGUCGGGAAAAUGCAGUAAAGGGCAUUUAUUGAGAAUUGAUUCCAAGUGUUGGAAGGAUGAAAGAAUAGGUCGAAGUUGCUGAUGUAAUUCAAAAAUUAACUGGAGAAUUCCGAGAGCAUCCCAAGUCCUGGGAAAACAAACAGGAAGAAGUGGUGUAAUCACCAGAAAUUAGGAGCUCAGAGAAAGACCCCCUUUUGACUGAUACUCACAUAUUUGUGGGGGAAGCUCCUUCUACAUACCUAGUGCUUGGACCUCUGAGGAAGGGAGUGACUGCCUGUCUGCUUCUACAUUCUGACAAAUGCGGCAAAGCUGCUGCUGAGUGCAGAAGCAGCUAAUAGCUGGAGCCAGCUGCCUGCAGCUGAAGUAAUGAGACAGCAGCUGGAAAACAGGGACAAAGGGCCUUCCUCCCCUCUCACUUUCAGGUUCCGUUUAGGACAUCCCAUUGACAGGAACUAAUGGAACCAGCUGGCAGUAGAUUCUGGGAAAUAGAGUUUGCAGACUCCCAGCUGCAGCAACACAAAGAGUGUGUGUAAGGGGGUGGGGAGUGGGGGGUGGAGGGAGAUCUGUAGAGGCCAGGAGCCCUAAGAAAAUAGGUAAAUAAGGGAUACACUCCACUAGCUGCUCUUAUGCAUACUUUGUUGCUUCUGUCAGCCGUGGGUCACCGUGGAGUGUUCAGGGUAUACAUCCACCAGAGUAAACGUAUCCAUUCACUUGGUUGCUUCAAAUUCUUUGCUACCUGGAGAAAUUAAAAUCCCUGGAGCUGGGGUUCUGAGUAAAAACUAUGUUCCACCAAUUAGAUGCGCUCAUCUGAGGUUUGGGAGGCGAGGGGCAUCUUCCUGCUGCUUGGCUGUUGCUGCUGGAGAGCAGGUUUGUCUAGAUGUUGGGCUUUCUGCAGCAGCAUUCCCCUUGAGGCCAAGGACAAAGUAAGGAUUCCCACUGUAAUGGCUCAAGUUCAACAUGGGACGGAGGUUCAACAGGCAAAAUACAACUUACUGUGUGACACUAUAAGAAAGUGUGGUUAAGAAAAAAAUGUACUGGGAGGAUAUCAGUUAAGUAAUUCACAGAACUCCUGAGAAGUCCAGGGAGUGAGGCUUAGAAAACAAACACGGACCAACUGCAAAACCUAAGUCACACUUCAGAGAGUCUGGUUAGGAUGGCACUGCUGGCACCAUGGCUGCUGGACUUUUUUUGUGGUUUUUUUGUUGCCACAUAGGUUGAUGCUGGGAAUUGAGUUAAUCCUCCUAAAUUUGUGGCCCUGUUUUAGGAUUGGCCCAUGAAAGCCCUCUCUCCUGUUAUUUGUUUCCUUUAUUACUUAUUUGCUCUUUUUUCCUCACUCCCACAAUAUGUUUGUUGUGUGUCCCUAGAUACGUAUGUUAGCAACGUGCAUGGUUUGGUGUAUAUAUGUUGUGGCAGGGACUUGGCAGCUGUUCCUCACACCCAUUUUCUUCUUCCUGGGAAAUUAGCUGGACUCUGUUUUCCAGCUCCCCUUAUACUUUCGUGUGGCUAUGUGAUUGAAUUUGGCCAGUUGGGUGGUAGUGGAACUAAGGUAUGCUACUUGCAUAUUUGGGUCCUUAUAUUUUGCUACACAUUAGUCCCCAUGUCAAUCCACUUUGGCCAACUUGAUGCAUUUGCCCAUAUGUCCUUGAAAGGUACAUGUCAAACAUGAUGGAGCCAAAAGAUGGAGGGAACAUAGAUCCCUGAACAACACUUGGAGGGGAGCCACCUGUUUGGGACUUCACCUGAGUGAGAAGUCAUUUUCUUUAUAGAUGAACCAUUACACACUUGAGGGUUUGUUGUUACAGCAACUAUUGAUCUUUUUUAAAAUUAUUCUUAGUUGAACACAUCGGAAAAGUAAGCAAAACACAUACCCAUAUGGAAAAGUAAAUGAAACCAAAAUGUUUGACCCAUGGUUUUAUCAUAGGCCAGCCCCAUUGCAACCACCAUCCAAAUUGAGAAAGCCUCCGCACCCAAAAACCUUUUAUGCUACCUCCCAAACAUCAACCACUUGUUUCUCUCAACCAUACAAAGUUACCACCAUCCUGACUCUCGUGACAAUUUCCUUGCAUUCCUUUGUGGUCUUACUGGUUAAGCAUUGUGAUAUUGUGAUUUAUAAUAAAGAAUACAUAUUUCGUCCUCCCAUUUCUAGCACAGAGCUUCUAAAACCCUUGGGGUUUCCUAAGUGAUGAGAGCUGGAACCGGUCUUUUGUUAGGUUAAUGACUUUUGGAAUGCCCCCAAAUCACCUAGGAUUGAGGGGUUGCCCUGUGCAUCUUUUCCACCUGGAUGGUCAGCUGUAUUCUUUACUAUGUCCUUUUAUAAUAAGCCGGCAAAUGUAAAUAAACUUUUUCCAAGUUCUGUGACAACUUGGACUUGGGACUAGCAUUUGAAGUGCGGGAGGAGAGCAGUCAUGUAGGACUGAGCGCUGAGCCUGUGGAAUCUAAUGCUGUCUCAGGACAGUUAGUGUCAGAAUUAAGAUGAGUUGUAGAACACCCUGCUGGUGUCUCAGAGAAUUGUUUAUUGGUGUGGGGGCCUUCUCCCAUGGUGGAAUUGGGUGCUCAGACCCUUUUUAAAGCGUGUACACCUAAAUAGUACGUAUUUUCAUGUGUCUGGCUUUUUCACUCAACAUUAAGUUUAUGGGACUCAUCCAUGUUGUUGAGUACAAAUGAAUUUCAUUCACUGUUAUUACUAUAGAAGUAUCCUGUUCUGUAAGUAAAUUACGAUUGUAAACCAUGAUUGAUUAAUUCAAUUGUUUAGGUAAAUUUGAGUUGUAUAUUAAUCAGAAUGGGCUGUGCCAUGCUGCAGGAAAUUAAAAUCCAGAAUGUUAAUGUCUUAACUCCACAGAAGAUAAUUUCUUACUAUUGCUAGAGGCAGGGACUGUUCAUAGUCACUCAGGAACCCUAGCUAAUGCAAUGCACGCUUCCAAAAUCACUAGGAAAGAAAAAUGAACGAGGGAAAUCACUCCCUGGCACCCAAAGUUUCAGCCCUUUUUGCCCCUAUGUAAUUGGCCAAAACAAGUCUCCUUGUAGAGUUCUCCAUGUACAACUCUGUAGUUGGUGAGAAAGUGUACUCCUAUUGUGUGCUCAGGGGGAAGACAAACAAGGUUGGUGAACUGCCUAACAUCCAGCUUGUGGUCCCUGCAAAUAAUGCUGUGAACAACCCAGAAGGUCUCUUACUGUGUUCAGGGGAAGUGAUGUUGGUGGAAGUCCUUAUCUCAUUCUUAAACUUGAAAGAAAAGCUUUCAGUAUUUCAUCAUUGGGUAUGAUAUUUGCAUUGAGGUUCUGAUUAGUGGUUAUCAGAUUAAUGAUGUGCUUUUCUGUUUGCUAUUAUUUUUAUCAUGAAUUAGACUUCGAAUUUUGUCAAAUACUGCUGAAUUGAGAUGAUCAUAUAUAUAUAUUUAAUUUUGUUCAGUGUAGCAAGUAAUAGAUUCAUUUUCAUGUGUGAAAUCAACCUUGAAUUUUUAGAAUAAAAUCACCUUAGUUGAUUAUUAUUCUCUUUAUACAUUGCUAAAAUCAUUUUGGUAAUAUUUUGUCUAGGACUUUUGCAGCUAUGCUCAUGAGUGAACAUAAAUGAUAUUUUCCUAUAAAUCUUUUCUCACCACAAUGCUUUUAAGUGCUGUGCAUGUUGCUAUAUGUACCUUUGGCUCACUCUUCCUCCUCUUCAAAUGCUCUAAUGGCUUCCCAUCUCACUCAUAACAUAGUCCAGAAUUCUUACUGUUUCCCAAGAGGCCCUGUGUUUUCUGGAUUCCAGUUAUCUAACAUUCACUCCCUUUACUCAUGCCUUUUCAGAAAUACCGUCUAUCUUGCUAUUUCUUGAAUAUUCUCAGCAUGCCUCCCUGCCUCUGGGUCAUUGUGAAUCUAUGUGGAAUGUUAUUUCCAUGAUAUCUACCUGGCUCACUUAGGCACUUCAUUCAAAUCUCUGUUGAAAAGUCAGUUUUUAUAGUCCCCCUCUCUACUGCCAUACCACACUUAGUUUUUCUUCAAGGAACUUAUCACCUUUUAAAUUGCAUAUUUAUUUGUUUAUAUGAUUAGUGCGUAUUUCUUCACACUAGAAUGUAAGUUCAAGACAGCAAGGACUCGAUCUGUUUUAUUCAGUACUGCACCCCUAGGAUCUAGGCUUAUUUGCCUCUGAUGUCUGUUUAGUGUUCCAGAAUGUCUGUUUAGAACAUUUAACAUAUCCAUUUCCCUAGGUAAGGACAUUUAGAUUAUGCAAAUCCUUGUGACCACAAAAAAAAUGAGUAAAGAAUUUUCUUAUAAGUGUUCUCUUAAAUAUAUAUGUGUGAGUCCUGCUUCCAGAGUUCAACUUAAUUUGUCAGGCUGGUUAUUCCACUAUAAAAUAUAACAAAAUUAACAACUAUAAAAUCUGAACAAAAUAUAAACCAAAGAACAACUAUUUGAAGACACUGAAAAGUGAAGAAAAGCAGGCAAAAACUAGAGGAGAAUUUACCCUUAAAAUACUUCAACUGCAAUGGAUAAAAAUUAUGAUUUUGUGGUCUUGCCUGAAAGUCUUUCCCAGCCCCACAGCAUCCACCAGUUCCAAAGGCAAAAAACCACAGCCAUACUGGCUCAAAAUAGAGGACAGAGUUCAGGGCUGGUAAAGCAGCUGGAAAUUUAAGAGCAGAAAUCCUGGAAGUGAGAGAGUGCCAUGAGGGGUGAAACCAAAAUAUGAACAUAAACUCUGCCCAAACCUUUGCAUGACUGCUAAAAUACACAUGCAUAUAGAGGAGACUUAGGGGGGGGACCUAACACAUAAAACUGGCAGAGUCCAGAGAAGAGUCUACCCCUGAAUGACAGAAGUGCACUGUGUGAGAUGUGCAAAUUUGCUUUUUGACUGAGUGCAUUCCUCAAUUUAUGUCCAGCUUGGAUGGCAACUGAAGUGUCAGAGGACAGGGUUCGGUAGUGGAGAGCGGCUGGAAAUUUAAAAGGGAAACCCCAGAAGCAAAAGGACUGUAGAGGAGGUGAGCCCCAAAAUCUGAGCCAAAUUCUGCCUAGAUCCUUGGCCAGUGACUAAACUGUAAAUGUGCAGGUGAGAUGUUCUAGACCAGGCUUACAAAAAAAAAAAAAAAAAAAAAAAGCAUGCUGCUGCUAUAAGCUAAAAAAUAAGCAGAGACAUCUACUGUUACACAACACAGGAAAUAAAAAAUUUGCAAUUUAGGCCUGCUCCCACCCCAGAAUGCCUGCUAUAACAAUACCAAUAACAAAUUUUUAGAAUAUAACAGAAUGAAAACUUACUACAGCAUAUUAUCCACAAUAACCAGCUUUUAACCAAAAUUACCAGACAUACAAAUAAACAGAAAAUUAUAACCCUGUUAUAAAAACAUGAAAUUAUAAACAGUAAUUUAUACUCAGGGUAAAAGACACUCAAUAGAAAUUAACUCCAGGGGACACAGAUAUUGGAUUUAGCUGUCAAAUACUUCAGAGUAACUGUUAUUAGUGCAUUCAAGCAAUGAAAGGAAAAUAUGUAUUAGAAACUAAAGUAUGGCCUCAAUGAAUAUACAGAUAAGGAACCUUCCCAGAGACAGAAAUCAAAUGGAAAUUCUAGAAUUGAAAAGUAUAAAUAACUAAAAGCGAAAAGAAAAGGACAAUACAAAUUACUCAAUUUGAGUAACCGGGAAAAUAGACUGA